CACGACGAUCUUCAGAUUUGUGAAAUUUUCAUUGAAAAAUAUUGAAAAUUAAGGCGUGGACACGUCGUCUGCUAU